UGUCAAAACAAAUCAUCAAAUUGACUGAAUGAAAUCAAAACGUUGACCAACAAAAAAAAUCGAUCCUCUCGAGAUCAAAUCUUACAAAAUUGCCAAAAAAUUGCAAAGGUAAAAUGACAAGGGAAAGCAAGCGAGAUAUCGCAAUCAAUGGACAACAGAUAACCAGUGAGAAAAUACGAAGAACGGCUCCGGUAAGGGACGUCUAAAAAUCGAUUUUUUUUAGAAAAUGUUUACAUAGAAUGUUGAGUGUGAACAUUUUAUUGAUAAAAAGGUGAGGAUAAAGUAAAAAAAUGCAAAAUUUUAAAAAUUAUAAAGGAUUUUCUACUUACGUAUAAUUCACAAUUACACCCAGCUUAACUACACUCUAUUUGCGACUAGGCAUCACGUUGACCAUUAUAUAUGCUAUUAAUUUAAAUUUAAAGCCUUAAGUAACAAAAUUCUGUAACUUCGAAGGAUUUACAUCACUUCUUUAGGUCAUAAACACAAAUUUUCACACACAAAUCAGGAAUAUCAAAUAUGUAAAUACCGAUUUAUUCAUAAAUAAAAAAGACUGUCAAAUGUCACUUACAUCAACUAACAUUAUUUAUUGGAAGUGGCUACUGUACUAGAACGAUUAUCAUAAUUUUCUGUCGUGUCUCAUUAUAGGUAAGUAUUUGUUUAUUUAUAUAAUCAUAAAAUAUGCACACAAUGAGGCAGUAGCCCCGUGUGCGCAUACAAGGCGGAUGCACAUGGGGCGGCAGCCCCAUGUGCGCACAUGGGACUGUUUGGCUGGCGCACAUGUGGAGUUGGGAUUGUAAAAAGGGAUUUGAACCUUGGGUUGGCACUAAAUAGUGGGUUAGGUAGUCGUUUGAGCCCUACUUAGAGAAUGGGAUAAUAGUUAGAAAAUGGGAAUUAUAACUAUUAUCAUAUCAUUAACAUCAUAUCAUAUCAUUAACACGGGGCUUCCGCCCCGUGUUUGUGUCUAUAAUUCCUAUUCAUAAUCCCUAUAAUGAAUUUAAAGAUAUUUACUGUUUUGAAUAUAAGUCAAUAUACAUUAAACCUCAUCGUUGUUAUUUACCUAAUAAUAAUUAAAUAUCUUAUUAUAUAUUAAAUUACAUAAAAUAUCAAAAAAUUUAAAUAAAUAAUACCUAUCAUGUAUUGUAAAAUCUAACUAUAUUAUACCUUUAUUAUCUAAAAUUGAGUCCACAACCAACCCAUCUAACUAAAAAGUGUUCCAGACAAAACCAAAAAAAACUACUGGGGACAUACUGAAGCCACUGCCAUUUGUGUCAAUAAGGUUGUUGUUUUAUUUUUCUUGUGUGUAAAUUACAAAAUAUGUAAUUAAAAGGGAUACAAAGCGAUAAAAAAUGUUAAAAAAUUGCCUCAAUAUAUAUAUUUUUUAACAUUCUAUGUAAAAAUUUGCAAAGAAAUGGUUUUUAGACGUCCCUUUAAGUUUACCGGACCCCGAAGAACCAGUACAACAGAGCGGUCCCAAACGGAAGGCCCGAUAUUAAGGAUCUGGAACUGGUCAUAGUCUCGGAAUAAAAUUAUACAUUGCCACUAUUAUAGCAUAUUAAAGAAAACUUAUUAAUAAGUUAUUAUAGUUAAUAAAUAUUUAAUUACUA
rnacentral:lncRNA from 1 species